ensembl:misc_RNA Metazoa_SRP Metazoan signal recognition particle RNA
GCUGGGCAUGGUGGCACAUGCCUGUAGUCCCAGCUACUCGGGAGGCUGAGGCAGGAUAAUCACUUGAGCCCAGGAGGUCAAGGCUGCAGUGAUCUGUGAUUGUACCACUGCACUCCAGCCUGGACAACAGAGUGAGUCCCUGUCUCAA